GAUGAACGCUGGCGGCGUGCCUAAUACAUGCAAGUCGAGCGAACGGACGAGAAGCUUGCUUCUCUGAUGUUAGCGGCGGACGGGUGAGUAACACGUGGAUAACCUACCUAUAAGACUGGGAUAACUUCGUGAAACCGGAGCUAAUACCGGAUAAUAUUUUGAACCGCAUGGUUCAAAAGUGAAAGACUGUCUUGCUGUCACUUAUAGAUGGAUCCGCGCUGCAUUAGCUAGUUGGUAAGGUAACGGCUUACCAAGGCAACGAUGCAUAGCCGACCUGAGAGGGUGAUCGGCCACACUGGAACUGAGACACGGUCCAGACUCCUACGGGAGGCAGCAGUAGGGAAUCUUCCGCAAUGGGCGAAAGCCUGACGGAGCAACGCCGCGUGAGUGAUGAAGGUCUUCGGAUCGUAAAACUCUGUUAUUAGGGAAGAACAUAUGUGUAAGUAACUGUGCACAUCUUGACGGUACCUAAUCAGAAAGCCACGGCUAACUACGUG
rnacentral:rRNA from 1 species